UAUAGCUCACAUAUAUACUCAAAUGUAUAACCCCAAACUUUAAUAUUUUCUAGUUUAUCUUUGCCGUCGGCACUUGGAGCACUCCUCUGCUUAUCUAAGGGCAACUCACCUGGUAUGCGUUGCAUGAUCUGUUGACGGUACAGCUCAUGGGCCAAUUGCUGCUGCAUGCGCAUAUCCAUUAAAUCGUGCAUGGACAACAUUGUGCAAAAGUUCAGUUUUGGAGUUUCGAAAUUCCACUGCCAUAUACAGCCAGUUGCUGUUUAUUUGCCAGAUUGCUGAGCAUAGCUGCCCGUAAAAUAUAUACAUUUUGGGUCUGGUCUCAGGUUCUCAACUAUUGAUUAGUGCUUGUCAGCGCUGAAAAUUGCUUCUAAUCGCAGUUGGUUCGCAUUUCCCGAAAACCUAAUCACAAGGCACAAGUAGGCUACAGGAAGUCAGCAUGAAUGUAAAAAUUAUUGACUGUCCUACGGAUCAUAGGUAAAAUAAUUAAAAUAUUACAUACAGGCUAAGGAUCUGCGUUUUCAGGGCAAGUUUAAUUUAAAGCAAACGAGACAGAGCAUAAAUUGAAGGACUAUUUCAUGGUCUAAGCAGAUGUAAUGCGAUUAAUACUACUUUAGAUAUCCACCUCAAUUAGGUACAUACAUGGGAAAUACUUUGUUCAGAUUGUGCCAAAACAACUUUGAUUUGACACUGAUCUUGAUGGCAAAUAUAAAUUUAGAUAUUUUUGUAUACACCCAAGCCUCCUCAUCUCCAGAUCCCCCAUUUCAAGGCAGCGACACUUUCUUGGGAAUGCCCGAAUACAAUUUGCACUUCUCUUCAAGCGCUACGGCCAAAUCACAUUUCAUUGCCAAGAAAUAAUUUCGGGCUUGACUUCACUGCAAACGGACUAGAAACGAUUCCAGCUAAACGCAGUGCAAAUUUCGCUUGGCGCAAUCACAAAAUAUCAAUUUGGACACAUUAGCAAAUUUAGUCGCUGUAGACGGCAUAUUUCCGGUGAACCAGUUCCCAAGCCCGAGCCCUAUCCCAAUCCCAGACUGGUGACGUGACGUCGGGCGCCAGUGCAUCGUAAAAUAUUUGUACAAAUAGCAGCAAAACUUUAUUUGACAAAAAAAAAAAACAAAA